CUGCAUGUUAAUCCAAGAGCUGUGGCUCCACGAAGUAGCUGCAGGUCUCCAACAACAUGCCAAAGCAAUGGGAAGGUCUUUGACUGCUGGGCCUCUUCUGCCCGUGGCUGUCACUCACCCCUCCAAUACAU
ensembl:snoRNA